GAUGAACGCUGGCGGCGUGCCUAAUACAUGCAAGUCGAGCGAACGGACGAGAAGCUUGCUUCUCUGAUGUUAGCGGCGGACGGGUGAGUAACACGUGGAUAACCUACCUAUAAGACUGGGAUAACUUCGGGAAACCGGAGCUAAUACCGGAUAAUAUUUUGAACCGCAUGGUUCAAAAGUGAAAGACGGUCUUGCUGUCACUUAUAGAUGGAUCCGCGCUGCAUUAGCUAGUUGGUAAGGUAACGGCUUACCAAGGCAACGAUGCAUAGCCGACCUGAGAGGGUGAUCGGCCACACUGGAACUGAGACACGGUCCAGACUCCUACGGGAGGCAGCAGUAGGGAAUCUUCCGCAAUGGGCGAAAGCCUGACGGAGCAACGCCGCGUGAGUGAUGAAGGUCUUCGGAUCGUAAAACUCUGUUAUUAGGGAAGAACAUAUGUGUAAGUAACUGUGCACAUCUUGACGGUACCUAAUCAGAAAGCCACGGCUAACUACGUGCCAGCAGCCGCGGUAAUACGUAGGUGGCAAGCGUUAUCCGGAAUUAUUGGGCGUAAAGCGCGCGUAGGCGGUUUUUUAAGUCUGAUGUGAAAGCCCACGGCCCAACCGUGGAGGGUCAUUGGAAACUGGAAAACUUGAGUGCAGAAGAGGAAAGUGGAAUUCCAUGUGUAGCGGUGAAAUGCGCAGAGAUAUGGAGGAACACCAGUGGCGAAGGCGACUUUCUGGUCUGUAACUGACGCUGAUGUGCGAAAGCGUGGGGAUCAAACAGGAUUAGAUACCCUGGUAGUCCACGCCGUAAACGAUGAGUGCUAAGUGUUAGGGGGUUUCCGCCCCUUAGUGCUGCAGCUAACGCAUUAAGCACUCCGCCUGGGGAGUACGACCGCAAGGUUGAAACUCAAAGGAAUUGACGGGGACCCGCACAAGCGGUGGAGCAUGUGGUUUAAUUCGAAGCAACGCGAAGAACCUUACCAAAUCUUGACAUCCUUUGACAACUCUAGAGAUAGAGCUUUCCCCUUCGGGGGACAAAGUGACAGGUGGUGCAUGGUUGUCGUCAGCUCGUGUCGUGAGAUGUUGGGUUAAGUCCCGCAACGAGCGCAACCCUUAAGCUUAGUUGCCAUCAUUAAGUUGGGCACUCUAAGUUGACUGCCGGUGACAAACCGGAGGAAGGUGGGGAUGACGUCAAAUCAUCAUGCCCCUUAUGAUUUGGGCUACACACGUGCUACAAUGGACAAUACAAAGGGCAGCGAAACCGCGAGGUCAAGCAAAUCCCAUAAAGUUGUUCUCAGUUCGGAUUGUAGUCUGCAACUCGACUACAUGAAGCUGGAAUCGCUAGUAAUCGUAGAUCAGCAUGCUACGGUGAAUACGUUCCCGGGUCU
rnacentral:rRNA from 1 species